rnacentral:rRNA from 1 species
AACGAACGCUGGCGGCAUGCCUAACACAUGCAAGUCGAACGAGACCUUCGGGUCUAGUGGCGCACGGGUGCGUAACGCGUGGGAAUCUGCCCUUGGGUUCGGAAUAACAGUUGGAAACGACUGCUAAUACCGGAUGAUGACGUAAGUCCAAAGAUUUAUCGCCCAAGGAUGAGCCCGCGUAGGAUUAGCUAGUUGGUGAGGUAAAGGCUCACCAAGGCGACGAUCCUUAGCUGGUCUGAGAGGAUGAUCAGCCACACUGGGACUGAGACACGGCCCAGACUCCUACGGGAGGCAGCAGUGGGGAAUAUCGGACAAUGGGCGAAAGCCUGAUCCAGCAAUGCCGCGUGAGUGAUGAAGGCCUUAGGGUUGUAAAGCUCUUUUACCCGGGAUGAUAAUGACAGUACCGGGAGAAUAAGCUCCGGCUAACUCCGUG